GGAUUAGAUACCCUGGUAGUCCACGCCGUAAACGAUGUGAACUAGGUGUAGGAGGUGUUGAUCCCUUCUGUGCCGCAGCCAACGCAUUAAGUUCACCGCCUGGGGAGUACGGUCGCAAGAUUAAAACUCAAAGAAAUUGACGGGGGCCCGCACAAGCGGUGGAGUAUGUGGUUUAAUUCGAUGCAACGCGAAGAACCUUACCUGGUCUUGACAUCCCGAGAAUUUUCUGGAAACAGAAAAGUGCCUUCAUUAGAAGGAACUUGGUGACAGGUGCUGCAUGGCUGUCGUCAGCUCGUGCUG
rnacentral:rRNA from 1 species